rnacentral:rRNA from 1 species
CCUACGGGAGGCAGCAGUGGGGAAUAUUGCUCAAUGGGCGAAAGCCUGACCCAGCGACGCCGCGUGAGGGAUGAAGGUCUUCUGAUCUUAAACCUCUGUCAGUAGGGAAGAACGGUCACUGUGCUAAUCAGCAGUGAAUUGACGGUACCUGCAAAGGAAGCACCGGCUAACUCCGUGCCAGCAGCCGCGGUAAUACGGAGGGUGCGAGCGUUAAUCGGAAUUACUGGGCGUAAAGCGCUCGUAGGCGGUAUGUCAAGUCAAGGGUGAAAUCCCCGCGCUCAACGUGGGAACUGCCUUUGAGACUGGCAGACUGGAGUGUGUGAGAGGUUAGUGGAAUUCCAGGUGUAGGAGUGAAAUCCGUAGAUAUCUGGAGGAACAUCAGUGGCGAAGGCGACUAUCUGGCACAUAACUGACGCUGAGGAGCGAAAGCGUGGGUAGCAAACAGGAUUAGAUACCCUGGUAGUC